rnacentral:sRNA from 1 species
GCUGGGCAUAGUGGCGCAUGCCUGUAAUCCUAGUGGCUCGGGAGGCUGAGGCAGGAAGAUCUCGAGUUCAAAUCCAGCCUCAG